rnacentral:RNase_P_RNA from 1 species
CGAGGAGGACGGACGGUCGCCGCUGUGUUUCGAUACAGGGGAGGAAAGUCCGAGCACCUCAAGAAUCAGAGUGCCUGCUAACGGCAGGGCGGGGUGACCCGACAGAAAGUGCAACAGAAAAAAAACCGCCACCGCGCAAGCGUUUGGUAAGGAUGAAACGGUGCGGUAAGAGCGCACCGCUCGGAUGGCGACAUUCGGGGCAAGGUAAACCUCACUCGGUGCAAGACCAAAUAGGGAAGUGAUGACCGGAUUCGGGUAGCUUCCGGGUUGGUUGCUUGAGCCUGUGAGCAAUUGCAGGCCUAGAUGGAUGACCGUCACUGGUUUCGCUUUAUUGCGGAGCUAGUACAGGACUCGGCUUACAGUCCGCCUCGCGGC